rnacentral:misc_RNA from 1 species
UCCAUAUGAUGAUCUCAAGAUAAAAUUGGCAGAGCUGUGUAAUCUGGAGCUUACGACAGUGUCAAUUAAGUAUUUUCUUCCAAAAAAUAGGAAAACUCUUAUUAAUUUAAGGAGUGAAAAGGACUUCAAGAGAAUGGUUGAAUUUCAUGCUAAUUCUGUUACAGCUGAGAUUUUUGUCAGCGGAAAAGAAGGUUUUGAUCACGAUGCAUUGAACACGUACAAUGAGAGGACAAUUGCCUUAAAACUGGCUGAGAACGUAAAUCAUCAUGGCACACCUGCAGGUGCUGCUGAUUCUGGCGGUCUG